rnacentral:tRNA from 1 species
AAGAAGGUAGCUUAAAUUUAAAGCUAGGCAUUGAAGAUGCCUCGAUAGGGUUUCCCUCCUUCUUA